rnacentral:lncRNA from 1 species
GCCAUCCUCGCCUGCCUUCUCGCGCUGUUUCUAGCUCUCGCCAUCCCUCGGCGUACUCUUCCUCUCCUCCGAGUCAGAGUACCCUGGAGGGAUAAUGCUCUGCAGCACUGGCUAGAACUUCCAUCCCUGUGGUGAAUAAGAGUGAUGAAAGUGGACACCAUCGUAUUAUUGAAUUGAAGGGCCUUCAUGGGGCUUUGAAUUCAGCCUCAAACAUUGUGAUAAUCCGAUCCUGACACUUGCCCUCCCCUCAUUCACUCUUUUAACAAUCCCAAGAGAGUGCAGGACUGAGAUCCGAAAAUGUUAUUAUGGAGGGGAAAUAAAGGUUAUUUUGAAUGCUUCAAGGUCACGUGACUUGUAAGAAGAAGUCAGUUGCUAUGUACAAAGUCCUACUACUCUAAGACUGCCAUACCAUGAGAAGCCCAACCUAGCCAUGUGGAGAGGUCAUGUGAAGGAGAACUGAGUCUUCCAGCCAGCAACCCCAGCUGAGCUUCCAGCCAACAAACAGCACUAACUUGCAUGGGAGAAGCUGUCCAGGAAGUGAAUCCUUGAGCUCCAAUUGAGCUGCCUCAAGCUGGUGUCACGUGGAGCAGAGAUGAGCUGUCCCUGACAUACCUUGCACAAAUUUCAGAAACAUAAGUAAAUAAAAGAAAUAUUUGUAUUUUAAGUCAACA